GUAAUAUGCACAACAAUCGACUUUUGCAUAUUCUGAAUCUCUAAUAUUUUACAUCUUUUUGUUUGGAAUCUUCCUCGUCUCAUCAGCGCUUAUCCUGUAUCCAGCUAUGCCCUCUAUUUCAACCCAGCUCUAAGCUAGCUUGUCAUUAUUUACGAUCUCUCUCUCUCUCUCUCUCUCUCUCUCUCACUCUAAAACACAAAAUCCAUGAAAGGUCGGAGAUUCCUGCGUUUUUUCUCCCUUUCCCUCUGCAUAGGCCUAGUCCUCUUCUUCACUUGGUCCCACCUCCCUUACGCGCCGCAGUACGUCUCCGACCUCCUCGACUGCACAGCAAACUCCGCCUGGUGCUCUAUUAUCACCAAUCAUAUGAUUACUACCAACUAGAUGAUCAAAAAUACGCCCAGUACUCCAAAUUAUUCGACAACUUGCCGCUAUUAUCACCAACCAGGUGAUCAAAAGUACGCCCAGUACUCCAAAAUUGAUUCGGCAGCCUGCCGCUAUUAUCACCAACCAGGUGAUCAAAAGUAAGCCCAGUACUUCAAAUUAUACAUGAGCAUUACUCAUGUCAAUCAUACAUAAACAUUCAUGAGCAUCACUCAUAUCAAUCGUACAUAAACAUUCAUGAGCAUCACUCAUGUCAAUCAACAUAAACAUUCAUGAGCCUCACUCAUGUCAAUCAGCUUCGAAAGCUUCAUUUACAGAGCUCUAGCUUCAAAAGCUUCAUUUACAGAGUUCUAGCUUUAAAAGCUUCAUUUAUAGCGCUCUAGCUUCAAAAAGCUUCAUUUACAAAAGCUUCAGCUUCGAAAGCUUCAUUUACAGAGCUCUAACUUCAAAAGCUUCAUUUACAGCGCUCUAGCUUUAAAAAGCUUCAUUUACAAAAGCUCCAGCUUCGAAAGCUUCAUUUACAGAGCUCUAGUUUCAAAAGCUUCAUUUACCAAAGCUCCAACUUCGAAAGCUUCAUUUACAGAGCUUUAGCUUCAAAGCUUCACUUGCAAAGCUUCACCUACAAAGCUUCACUUGCAAAGCUUCACCUACAAAGCUUCAGUGCAGGGUAUACAAAUACCGUCUCCGAACAACCGCCACUUCGGCCCAUACAUGGAUUCAAUUUGAAGUUUCCAGCCAACAGACUCUAUUGACCGAAGACUUGGGGGACUACAUUAUGUACCAUAUAUUGGGUCUCAACUGGGCCUCAUGAAAAAUACUUGAGGGACUUAGGCCAUUAUUUAUGUAAUAAGUAAGGAGCCCUUAUUCUAUAAAAGGGACUCCCUCACUUUCAUUAGAGAGCACUCAUGAAAAUACUUAGGGGACUUAGCCCAUUAUUCAUGUAAUUAGUGAUGAACCCUUAUUCUAUAAAAGGGACUCCCUCACCAUCAUUAGAGAGCAUCGCCGCCAGCUGAGCAACCGCCUCGUCGCGAGCAUUACUCUUAACCCAUCAUUUAUGUAUUGAGGAGCGAGCCUUUAUUCUAUAAAAGGGACUCCAUCACCAUCAUUAGAGAGCAUCGCCACCAGCUGAGCAAUCGUCUCGCCAUGAACAUCACUCCUAACCCAUCACUUAUGUAUUGAGGAGCGAGCCCUUAUUCUAUAAAAGGGACUCAUUCACCAUCAUUAGAGAGCAUCGCUGCCUGCUGAGCAACCGCCUCACUGAGAGCAUCAACUCUAGCCCAUCAUUUAUGUAUUGAGGAGCAAGCCAUUAUUCUAUAAAAAGGACUCCCUCACCUUCAACGCCACAAGCCGAGCCAACCAAGGCAACAUAAGCCACAAGCCGAACAACCUCGUAAUAUGUGCUACUUCUAGUUGAGCAUCAUUUCAGAUUGAGAACCGCCUCAUAUCAAGUAUCAGUCCUAGACGAUAUCUAGUUACUUCGGCCCACACAUGGAUUGAAUUUCAAGUCUCCAGCCAAAAGACUCUCUUGACUGAAGACUUGGGGGACUACUGUUUGUACCAUACUUAAGGCCUCCGUAUUUAGAUCUCAUAUAAAUACUCAGGGGACUUAAAUGUAAUUGUGUAAUAAAGGAAGAGGCAAAUAUGUAAAAAGAGGAGGAUCCCUUAGUCUAUAAAAAGGCAUCCUCACCCUCACAAUUGGGAGGCCAAUUCUUAAGCCUCACAUCCCCUCUCAUAUUCAGAGCUAGGCUCUCACUCUCAGAUUACAGAGGCUCUCACCUUCACAAUCCCCUCAGAGAAAUACAAUAUCAGUGUGGACGUAGCCUAAACAUUGGGGUGAACCACGAUACAUCUUGUGUUAUUUACUUUCUUGCAGAUUCACGGUCGGAUUUACGUUGUUCCAAGACCCCUCUGGUUUUGUGCAUCAACAAGUAUUAUACCAUGUCUUUGUUUACAUAUUAAAGGAUUUGGUUGUGUGCAGCAAUCAAAAUGUCUAAAAGAAAAUUUAAGUCUCAAGAAGAAACAAUAUAUACCCCAACUGAUUGUAAUCUAGCACCUACAUUGAAUCCAAGUGUUGUGCAACAAGAAAUAUCAAAUCAAAUUGCUCAACCCCAAGAUAUACCAACUCCAAAUGAGGUUGCUGGUGAGACUGAGGAACCUUAGGGUGAUGAUGGUGAAGGUAAUAAUUCGAGACUUCGCAGUUUGGUGUGGCAACAUUACACAAGAACAGUAGUUGAUGGGGUGAUGAAAGCAAUAUGUAAUUAUUGAAGAAGCUUGGUGGGAACACUGGAACUGGAACCAGCCAUUUGAGGCAUCAUGUGACGAUAUGUCCACGUUGGACACAAAAAAAAUUGAAGCAAACACAAACCCAAAAAGUAGGAGAUGGGAAAGUAGAGUUGUAUACAUUUGAUCAAGAAAGUGCAAGGAGAGCUCUCCCCCAAAUGAUAAUAUUGCAUUAGUACCCUCUUUCUAUGGUUGAGCAUGUUGGAUUUAGAAACUUCAUGAGUGUUGUCCAACCGUUGUUUAAGGUUGUUUCAAGAAACACAAUCAAGAGUGAUAUCCUUAAAAUAUAUGAUUAUGAGCAUUCGAAAACAAUGCAAUUAUUGGAUGAAAAUAAGAGUAGAAUUGCCAUAAUUACUGAUAUGUGGACUGCAAGUAAUCAAAACAGAGGAUUUAUGGUAAUAACAUCACAUUUUAUUGAUGACUCUUGGAUGUUGCAGAGCCGAAUAAUAAGGUGAUAUUUUUAAUACUUUAAUAUCUAUUUAAUUAUUGUUUAGCUUUAGAUUUAUAUUUUAGAUUCUUUAUUGUAACCAUCUUCUUUGUAAUUUUUUUUCAAAUUUAUUUAUGUGCCUUGGCCGCAUACCGCCGAGACACUUUCAGAUGUUUUGAUGGAGUGCUUGCUAGAUUGGAACCUCGAUCGUAAGCUUUCUACCUUAACCGUGGACAAUUGCACUAUAAAUGAUAAAAUGAUUGAUCUUAUUCUUGAAAAACUUUUUAAUAGUUCACUUUUGUUGGGUUGAGGGUUCUUUCACAUGCGUUGUUGUGCGCAUAUAUUAAACUUAAUUUUGAAGGAUGGUCUGGAAGUGAUUGGUGGUGGUGUUGAGAAAAUUCGUGAUAGUGUUGUUUAUUGGACAACAACACAAAAAAGAGAAGAAAAAUUUGAGGAAACAACACGUCAGUUGAAGCUUCCAAGCACUAAGAAGAUGGUGCUUGAUUGUAAAACUCGGUGGAAUUCCACUUUUUUAAUGAUUCAAUCUGCUUUGAUUUACAGGGAUGUUUUCCUUUGUUUGAGACAACAAGAGUUGCAAUAUAAGUGUUUGCCUGAUGAUAGAGAUUGGGAGAUGGCAAGAGAGAUUUGUGAGAAGUUAAAGUUGUUUUAUAAUGUCUCCGAGUUGUUUUCUGGAACUAAGUACCCUACAACCAAUCUUUAUUUUCCAAAGAUUUGUGAGAUCGGGUUGUCUCUAACCCGGUGGCUUACCUCUAGACGUAAUGAAAUAAAAAAUAUGGCAAGAAGUAUGAUUGAGAAAUUUGAUAAAUAUUGGAGUGUGAUUCAUGGAAUAAUGGUUGUAGCUACUGUAUUGGAUCUAAGACUGAUUGAGUAUUUCUUCCCUCUUAUGUAUGGGCAAUAUGCUUCGAAUGAAAUUGAUAAGAUUUGCAAAUAUUGUUAUGAUUUGGUAUAAAAGUGUGGAUCUAAUCAUAUUUCUAACAUGGGUCAUCAACCAUCAUUCACUUCAUCUCAUUUGAAUCAAUUUGACUUUGAAGAGAUGAAUCCUUUAAUGGAUAACUUUGACUUGUUUGUUUCUAGUACUGUAAGUACCGAUAAUGUAAAGUCAGAAUUAGAUCACUAUUUGGAUGAGGCUGUUUUGCCUAGAACAUCUGAUUUUGAUAUUUUGGGUUGGUGGAAAUCAAAUGGGACUAAAUAUCCUAUCUUAAGUGCUUUGGCAAGGGAUAUAUUAGCUAUUCCUGUAUCUACAGUUGCUUCCGAAUCAACUUUCAGUACUAGUGGGAGAUUUAUAAGUCCACACUGUAGUAGACUUCAUCCAAAGACAUUGGAAGCCUUAAUGUGCGCCCAAAAUUGGUUGUGGAAAGAAAUUCAAGGUACCCCAAAGUAUUAAUUUAUUUUCAUCUUAUAUUGUGCAUGUUCUUUAAUCUUAAUUUCGAACUUAUUUUUCAAACUUAAUUAAUUAGUAUGCAUUCAGUUUUUAGAACUAAUUUAAGUCUUUAUGUUUCACAACUAGCUUGUUGUUCUAAUGCACACAUCGGUUGUUACACUUAUUUUGAAGAUAUGGAUAUGGAUGAGGUAAGUAUUGACAAUUAUAUUAUAUGUAUAUAACUAUCUUCUUUGUAGAUUAUAUGUAUACAACGAUUCAUAUUAAUUAUUUCGUCAUUUGCUUAAUAAUGUAGGAAUCAUGCUCCAUUGAUGGGUGUGAAGGAGGAGCACCAUGAAAUAUGAUACUGGCUUGGUGGAACUAAAACUAAAGUGCAAAUAUCUCGUUCUUUUGUGGUCACAAGUUUUGGAAUUAUUAGAUAAUUUGUUUUGUCUUCCUUUCGUAUUUGUCUUUGUCCUCUUUUUCUUUUUUAUUGGACCAAUUUAUCAUAUUGGCUUAUUAUGAACAACUUCAAAUAUAUAUUGUUAUGUUUUUUUUGUAAUUGGAUGUGGCUAUUUAAUGGCAGAAUUAGUAUCUACUAAAAUUUAUGCGUCAAUUAGAUGAAUAUAAUUUAUUUUAUUUUUUUUACGAAUAUGGUGGAUAUGGUUAUGAAUAAUCCCUGAUGAUUAUUUUGUGGUUAUGGGUAUGGUUAAUUUUUGUGAUUAAAUUAUGAGGAUAGAUAUAACAUUUCCGUCUCCAAUCCGAACCAUUGGCACCUCUGGUGGGUGAUCGGUAAUAUGCACAACAAUCGACUUUUGCAUAUUCUGAAUCUCUAAUAUUUUACAUCUUUUUGUUUGGAAUCUUCCUCGUCUCAUCAGCGCUUAUCCUGUACCCAGCUAUGCCCUCUAUUUCAACCCAGCUCUAAGCUAGCGUUUCAUUAUUUACGAUCUCUCUCUCUCUCUCUCUCUCUCUCUAAAACACAUAAUCCAUGGAAGGUCCGAGAUUCCUGCGUUUUUUCUCCCUUUCCCUCUGCAUAGGCCUAGUCCUCCUCUUCACUUGGUCCCACCUCCCUUACGCGCCGCCGUACGUCUCCGACCUCCUUGACUGCACAGCAAACUCCGCCUGGUGCUCCUCCAAAAACCGCAUCCAAGCCAAACCCCCUAUCCCAACGCGCCGCCUCAAAGACCACAGCUCCGACACCCCCCACCACCCUCUCGACCCCCUCACCAUCCAAGAACUCAACGCCGUCCGCACCAUCCUCAACUCCCACGCGCUCUUCACCUCCACCUCCUCCUACGCGCUCCACUCCAUCGAGCUCCAGGAGCCCGACAAGUCCCUCGUCCUCG
rnacentral:lncRNA from 1 species